rnacentral:rRNA from 1 species
AGGGUUUGAUUAUGGCUCAGGAUGAACGCUAGCGGCAGGCCUAACACAUGCAAGUCGAGGGGUAACAGGGAAAAGCUUGCUUUUCCGCUGACGACCGGCGCACGGGUGCGUAACGCGUAUACAAUCUGCCUUAUACUGGGGUAUAGCCUUUAGAAAUGAAGAUUAAUCCCCCAUAGUCUCUUAUUAUGGCAUCAUAAAAAGAGUAAAGGUUACGGUAUAAGAUGAGUAUGCGUUCUAUUAGUUUGUUGGUGAGGUAACGGCUCACCAAGACUACGAUAGAUAGGGGCCCUGAGAGGGGGAUCCCCCACACUGGUACUGAGACACGGACCAGACUCCUACGGGAGGCAGCAGUGAGGAAUAUUGGACAAUGGAGGCAACUCUGAUCCAGCCAUGCCGCGUGCAGGAAGACUGCCCUAUGGGUUGUAAACUGCUUUUAUAUAGGAAGAAACCUUGGUACGUGUACCAAGCUGACGGUACUAUAAGAAUAAGGAUCGGCUAACUCCGUGCCAGCCGCCGCGGUAAUAC